AUCACUGUGUGUUGGCAUCUCCGGUGUCCUAGCAUCGGCACAAUUCAAGCAUGUGAAAUUGGUGUCGGCAACAUAGUUCUGGCCGUAACUUCUUGUAGGGCUAGUUACCUUACUCCAACAGUAGAUUUGCUCCAACAGGGAGCUAUAGGCUGAGGCAACACUUCUCCGGCUAAAUCAAAAGAGUUGUGUGAUGUGGAUCAACUAUCAAGGUUGUGAGGAUG